GUUAGAUGAACCUUCUGAGGUCUUUCCCUAAAACUAAGCAAGAUUACCAUAAGGUUGAAAAAUGAAUAUGUAAUAUGAAAAAUAUCUACUGCGUGCCCUUCAAGCAAAGGACAACGUGUACAAUUGAUUAUAUGUUCUAAACAGAGGACACAUGCAAGGAAUAACUUCAUGUAAGAAUGGGAUCACUUAUGAAUGGAUGACUGGAAUCUUGAAAACACUCAGCGC